GACCAAUCUUAAAAUGAAAAUUCUGGAAAAGAAGGAAGUUAAUCUAUCAGACAACUGAGCAUUAUAGAUAAGGCGUUUACUUAUAAAUGCAUUCACAUUCUGCAACUGCAUAGACAACAAAAGCUUAUAAUUCAAAACAAAAAUGGCGACUGCAAGUCCUGGUCCGUCUAUAGAUAGGGAUGAUUACAACAUGGCUAUUGCUUUUCUUA